rnacentral:tRNA from 1 species
GCCGGUGUAGCUCAGUCGGCAGAGCAACGCAUUCGUAAUGCGUAGGUCGGAGGUU